AUAAAACGAUGAUUUCCUUUACUACUUACAAAAUAAAUCAAUUGUGCACUAUAUGCUUCACCUAAUGAAUUCAAGAAUUGGGUGGUGGAGGUGGACUCCUAAAUUUCGAGGACGUUACCUAGCAAAGAAACACUAGUAGCGUAGAAGGUUUCAUCGGAGAAAGAAUCUUUGCCUGUUAUUUUUGGGAAAUGGAAGAUGGGUUGAUGAGAGGAGACUUUUGCAGGCCCCUGCCAAUUUUGUAUAAAAAAGUGGAUGGCCUAUGCCUUCGCUGAGUAAUUGGAGAGGAAGACAGGUCCAACUGGCAACCCGUAAUCACUUGGCGAACAUAGAAUCUUCUUCUAGGGCUCAAUUCAGGUCACAAAAGUGAACCCAAAUACAGACCCAAAAGGAGCAUGAAACCCCAAGGCAACGGAACAGCUUCAACAAAUGGAGUGCCCAGCAAGAUGCUCAGAUUCAAGGUUCAUCCUCACCCAACACCCAUUGCUCAUGAAAACCAAGACCAUCACGCUCUAUAAACCAACCAGAUCAAAGGACAGUGACUGUGAUGCCAAGAGCCCAACCAGCUCUAGUUAUCCCAACCAGCUCUAGUUUUCCCAACCAAAGCAAACUUUUCUUGUCCACAAACGAUCUUGGAAACAUUUUUGUUCCAAGUUUUCUGAAUUUUUUGACAGCAGCCCCAUUUGAAU
rnacentral:misc_RNA from 1 species